UCUACCCCUCGUUAUUGUUUUAGUUUUCUAAGAAUCUCGACGAAAAAGUUACAAACGACGAUGGUGUUCAUCUCGAUUCCGAACGGGGAGACUCUCUCCGUCGACGUAAUCCCUAACGCAACCACCGUCUCCGCCUUCGAACAAUUGAUCCACCAACGCACCGAUCUCCCACAACCUCUCCUUCGCUACUCCCUCCGCAUGCGAAACCCUAGCCUCGCCAAUCCCGAUUCAAUCCUCCUAUCCGAUCUCGGCGUCUCUCGCUUCUCAACUCUGAUCAUCCAAAUCCCUCUCCUCGGCGGGAUGCAAGCAGGAGGAGCUGCUCCUCCUCCUCCGAAGCCUCGCCUCGAUUUCCUCAAUUCGAGGCCUCCUUCGAAUUACGUAGCCGGAUUAGGUCGUGGCGCUACGGGAUUCACCACCCGUUCCGAUAUCGGUCCCGCUCGCGCUGCUCCCGAUCUCCCCGAUAGAUCCGCGGCGGCUGCUGCGGCGCCUGCGCCGGUUGAGAAGGCGGAGGAUGAUGAAGAGGCGGAGGAGAAGGGGUACGAUGAGAAUCAAAAGUUUGAUGAGUUUGAAGGGAACGAUGCUGGUUUGUUUGCUAAUGCGGAGUACGAUGAGGAUGACAAGGAGGCUGAUGCGAUCUGGGAGUCUAUUGAUCAGAGGAUGGAUUCGAGGAGGAAAGACAGGAGGGAGGCGAAGCUCAAGGAGGAGAUUGAGAAGUACAGAGCGAGUAACCCUAAGAUUACUGAGCAGUUUGCUGAUUUGAAGAGGAAGUUGCAUACUUUAUCUGCGGAUGAGUGGGAUAGCAUUCCCGAGAUUGGGGAUUACUCGCUGCGUAACAAGAAGAAGAAGUUUGAGAGCUUUGUGCCUAUUCCGGAUACUCUUUUGGAGAAGGCUAAGAAGGAGAAGGAGCUUGUGAUGGCGUUGGAUCCGAAGAGCAGAGCCGCUGGGGGUUCUGAGACGCCGUGGGGGCAGACUCCGGUGACGGACUUGACUGCUGUUGGUGAGGGGAGAGGUACUGUGCUGUCUCUGAAGCUUGAUAGGUUGUCGGAUUCUGUCUCGGGGCAGACUGUUGUGGAUCCUAAAGGCUACUUGACUGAUUUGAAGAGUAUGAAGAGAACCACUGAUGAGGAGAUUUACGAUCGCAACAGAGCGAGGCUGUUGUACAAGAGUCUGACUCAGUCGAAUCCGAAGAACCCCAAUGGGUGGAUUGCUGCAGCUAGAGUUGAGGAGAUGGAUGGUAAGAUCAAAGCGGCUAGGCUUCAGAUUCAGAGGGGCUGUGAGGAGUGCCCGAAGAAUGAGGAUGUUUGGCUUGAAGCGUGUAGGUUGGCUAAUCCAGAAGAUGCGAAGGCGGUGAUUGCGAGGGGUGUUAAGCUGAUUCCCAAUUCUGUGAAGCUAUGGUUGGAGGCUGCGAAGCUGGAGCGUGACGAGGAGAACAAGAGUAGGGUGCUGAGGAAGGGACUGGAGCAUAUUCCAGACUCGGUGAGGCUGUGGAAGGCUGUUGUUGAGUUGGCUAAUGAGGAAGAUGCGAGGAUUCUGCUUCACAGGGCUGUGGAGUGCUGCCCUUUGCAUCUGGAGCUAUGGCUGGCACUUGCGAGGCUUGAAACAUAUGAGAAUUCAAGGAAGGUGCUGAAUCAAGCUAGAGAGAAGCUCUCUAAGGAGCCGGCUAUUUGGAUUACAGCCGCUAAGCUUGAGGAAGCUAAUGGGAACACGCAGAUGGUGGGGAAGAUUAUUGAAAGGGGUAUAAAGACUCUGCAGAGAGAAGGGGUUGUUAUUGACCGAGAAAAUUGGAUGAAUGAGGCUGAGGCAUCUGAGAGAGCAGGGUCUGUCGCAACAUGCCAGGCAAUUAUCAAGAACACUAUUGGUAUUGGAGUCGAGGAAGAGGAUAGAAAGAGAACUUGGGUUGCUGAUGCAGAGGAGUGCAAGAAAAGGGGUUCCAUUGAGACUGCAAGAGCAAUAUAUGCCCAUUCUCUUACUGUAUUCUUGACCAAGAAAAGUAUUUGGCUUAAAGCGGCGCAGCUUGAAAAGAGCCACGGGAGUAAGGAGUCCCUUGAUGCCUUGUUGCGUAAGGCUGUGACGUAUGUCCCUCAGGCUGAAGUCCUCUGGCUCAUGGGUGCUAAAGAGAAGUGGCUUGCUGGAGAUGUUCCAGCAGCCCGUGCGAUUCUACAAGAGGCUUAUGCUGCAAUUCCCAACUCUGAAGAGAUCUGGCUGGCUGCUUUCAAGCUUGAGUUUGAGAACAAGGAGCCGGAGAGGGCAAGAAUGCUUCUUGCAAAGGCAAGGGAGAGAGGAGGGACUGAGAGGGUGUGGAUGAAAUCAGCCAUUGUUGAGAGAGAACUUGGCGACGUGGAGGCGGAGAGGAGAUUGAUUAAUGAAGGCUUGAAGCAGUUCCCAAGAUUCUUCAAGCUAUGGUUGAUGCGUGGGCAGCUCGAGGAACGGUUCAAUCAUCUGGAACAGGCCAGGAAAGCUUAUGAAUCUGGUCUGAAGCACUGUCCAGAGUGCGUACCUCUGUGGCUGGCGCUCGCUAAUCUUGAAGAGAGAGUGACUGGGCUGAACAAAGCCCGGGCUAUUCUCACCACGGCCAGGAAGAAGAAUCCUCACGUAGAUGAGCUCUGGUUGGCUGCUAUACGUGUUGAACUCAGGCAUGACAACAAGAGAGAAGCAGAGCACCUGAUGUCAAAGGCUCUCCAAGAGUGUCCUACCAGUGGUAUCCUCUGGGCUGCGGACGUAGAGAUGGCGCCACGUCCUCGCCGGAAAACAAAGAGUAUGGAUGCCAUGAAGAAGUGUGAUCGCGACCCGCAUGUUACUGCAGCCGUUGCCAAGCUCUUCUGGCAAGACAAGAAGGUGGAGAAAGCCGGGGCGUGGCUAAAACGGGCUGUGACCCUCGCCCCAGAUAUUGGUGAUUUCUGGGCGUUGUACUACAAAUUUGAACUUCAACAUGGCACUGAAGAGAGCCAGAAGGAGGUCCUUGCCAAAUGUGUGGCUUGUGAGCCGAAGCAUGGUGAGAAGUGGCAAGCUAUCUCAAAAGCGGUGGAGAAUGCACACCAGCCUAUCGAUGUCAUCUUGAAGAAAGUCGUGAUUGCAUUGAGCAAGGAACAGAAGGCUGCUGCUUGAGAGCUCAACUUUUAGCUGUUCAUGUUUUUAUUCAGUAACGCAAACUGAUAAUGAUUUGCUGGAGUGUUUUCACCAGAUACUUUGUUUACUGAAUCCUUCAGUCUUCUUUCUUCUUUAGACAGUAUCACAGUCAUAUUCGUAUAAGCACAAGCUGCUCGUGCUUCCUACAAGUCUUUGUAAUGCCUGAACCUGUCGCAGUCAAAUAGCUUAAAAUCAGGAUCAACUUCAUCAGAACACAGCCGACUUUGUGGUGGUUAAAGUUAAAACUACUUUCAGAUCUAUAGAUAGGAACUGGACUGCACUAAAUAUUUACCCACUUGGUACGACAAUUGGACCACAUUAGGCUGUAUUGGGCUCAUCUGUGCAUAUGUGCUAAACAAUCGGGACCGACCAACUGUAUCUAAUCAGAUUUGUAUUACUUAUAGCUUCAGAUUAGAUACAAUUUCCUUCUUCAUUAGUAAACGGUAACAAAGUCUUGGAA